rnacentral:rRNA from 1 species
UGCAGUCGACGGCAGCACAGAGGAGCUUGCUCCUUGGGUGGCGAGUGGCGGACGGGUGAGGAAUACAUCGGAAUCUACUCUUUCGUGGGGGAUAACGUAGGGAAACUUACGCUAAUACCGCAUACGACCUUCGGGUGAAAGCAGGGGAUCGCAAGACCUUGCGCGAUUGAAUGAGCCGAUGUCGGAUUAGCUAGUUGGCGGGGUAAAGGCCCACCAAGGCGACGAUCCGUAGCUGGUCUGAGAGGAUGAUCAGCCACACUGGAACUGAGACACGGUCCAGACUCCUACGGGAGGCAGCAGUGGGGAAUAUUGGACAAUGGGCGCAAGCCUGAUCCAGCCAUACCGCGUGGGUGAAGAAGGCCUUCGGGUUGUAAAGCCCUUUUGUUGGGAAAGAAAAGCACACGGUUAAUACCCGAGUGUUCUGACGGUACCCAAAGAAUAAGCACCGGCUAACUUCGUGCCAGCAGCCGCGGUAAUACGAAGGGUGCAAGCGUUACUCGGAAUUACUGGGCGUAAAGCGUGCGUAGGUGGUGAUUUAAGUCCGUUGUGAAAGCCCUGGGCUCAACCUGGGAAUUGCAGUGGAUACUGGGUCACUAGAGUGUGGUAGAGGAUAGUGGA